rnacentral:rRNA from 1 species
UAUCAAAACACAUGUGCAAGUUUGUGGCCGUGUCACACCCACAGAGUGUUUCAGGUGGUCCGAUCACCUUCAUAGAGAGACAACCGGUGGAGGUAAACCGGUGGAAGCGCGGCAAUAGCAGGUCUGUGAUGCCCUUCGAUGUUCUGGGCUGCACGCGCGCUACAAUGACAACGACAGCGAGUAUCCUGACCGAAAGGUUUGGGUAACCUUGUGAAUCGUUGUCAUGCUGGGGAUUGAGCUUUGCAAUUAUCGCUCAUGAACUUGGAAUUCCUCGUAAGUCCGAGUCAUCAGCUCGGGCUGAAUACGUCUCUGCCCUUUGUACACAACCGCCCGUCGCUACUACCGAUUGAAUGGGUCGGUGAGGACCUUGAUCGAGGUUAACUUUAGUGUGUAACCUUGAGAGCAUGUUCAAACCGAUCAGUCAGAGGA